rnacentral:rRNA from 1 species
AGUGAAAGAGAACUUGAAACCGUGUGCUUACAAGUAGUCAGAGCCCGUUAAUGGGUGAUGGCGUGCCUUUUGUAGAAUGAACCGGCGAGUUACGAUCUGAUGCAAGGUUAAGCAGCAAAUGCGGAGCCGCAGCGAAAGCGAGUCUGAAUAGGGCGUUGAGUAUUUGGUCGUAGACCCGAAACCAGGUGAUCUACCCUUGGUCAGGUUGAAGUUCAGGUAACACUGAAUGGAGGACCGAACCGA